UGCAAUGGAGCAGCGCACGUGUAAUGACCCUAGACUCGCACAUCAGUUCAUUUAGCUUUAAAACUAUCGUUCGCUGUACACAGGAGAAUAUAGUGCAUCCAUACGUACACAACUACUCCAGCGUCAACUACAAUUGAAGAGACGACUACAGUACUGAGCACCACUGAAGAAAGUACAACUGGUCCUCCAAGUACAACGGAGAAGUCAACUACUCGUGUGACAACUACUGAGGCUCCCUCAACAACUGCCCCACCUUGAACAACUGCCCCACCUUCAACGACCAAGGAGGUAACAACAGUUGUGACCACUACCCCUGAAUCUACCACAAAGGAAGUCACCACAGUGCAGUCUACAACAGAAGCCUCCACGACAGAGGCUA